AUUGAACGCUGGCGGCAUGCCUUACACAUGCAAGUCGAACGGUAACGGGCCUUCGGGUGCUGACGAGUGGCGAACGGGUGAGUAAUACAUCGGAACGUGCCCGAUCGUGGGGGAUAACGAGGCGAAAGCUUUGCUAAUACCGCAUACGAUCUACGGAUGAAAGCCGGGGACCGCAAGGCCUUGCGCGGACGGAGCGGCCGAUGGCAGAUUAGGUAGUUGGUGGGAUAAAAGCUUACCAAGCCGACGAUCUGUAGCUGGUCUGAGAGGAUGAUCAGCCACACUGGGACUGAGACACGGCCCAGACUCCUACGGGAGGCAGCAGUGGGGAAUUUUGGACAAUGGGCGCAAGCCUGAUCCAGCCAUGCCGCGUGCAGGAUGAAGGCCUUCGGGUUGUAAACUGCUUUUGUACGGAACGAAAAGCCUUCUUUUAAUACAGGAGGGUCAUGACGGUACCGUAAGAAUAAGCACCGGCUAACUACGUG
rnacentral:rRNA from 1 species